ensembl:snRNA U6 U6 spliceosomal RNA
GUGCCCGCUUGGGCAGCACAUAUACUAAAACUGGCACGAUACAGAGAAGAUUAGCACGGCCCCUGCAUAAGGAUGACACACAAAUUCAUGAAACGUUCCGCAUUUUU